UACAGAGGUCUCAAGCGUUGUUCGGAUUCAUUGGGCGUAAAGGGUGCGUAGGCGGCGCGGUAAGUCGGGUGUGAAAUCUUGGAGCUUAACUCCGAAACUGCAUUCGAUACUGCCGUGCUUGAGGACUGGAGAGGAGACUGGAAUUUACGGUGUAGCGGUGAAAUGCGUAGAUAUCGUAAGGAAGACCAGUGGCGAAGGCGGGUCUCUGGACAGUUCCUGACGCUGAGGCACGAAGGCCCAGGGGAGCAAAACGGGG
rnacentral:rRNA from 1 species